UGGUGUUCCUCCAACCCUGAGG
rnacentral:piRNA from 1 species